CCUGAAGUCCAGUUAUCCCCUGUCACAUCUAACUCUGUUCUUUUCUUCUUGUAGGACAUCUGCAGAUAUUUAUUUGAAUUUUGUUGAAUUGUUCUCAUCAAUAUCUUAGUGAGAAGAGAGCAGGCUGAAUGGAAGAAAGUCAUUAUGACCACUGAGGCCACUAGGAUUUCUGUGUGUGUGUGUCCCCAUGAUGAAAACAUCAUUAAAGUAAAAUAUCAUGAAUACACUCUUAAGAAGCAGAGUCUACUGAAAGUCCUGGAAAAUAUGAAAGCACUAAUAUUCAUGAACAACUGUACACUCUGAAAGUUACUCGAAAUUUUGUUGAUCUCUCUUUUGUCUAGGAGUUUUUCAAAUUUUCUACCAUGAUCAUUUGUUAGUUUUAUAAUUACAUAAUAAAGGUAUUAC